rnacentral:rRNA from 1 species
CCUACGGGAGGCUGCAGUCGAGAAUCAUUCACAAUGGGGGAAACCCUGAUGGUGCGACGCCGCGUGGGGGAAUGAAGGUCUUCGGAUUGUAAACCCCUGUCAUGUGGGAGCAAAUUAAAAAGAUAGUACCACAAGAGGAAGAGACGGCUAACUCUGUGCCAGCAGCCGCGGUAAUACAGAGGUCUCAAGCGUUGUUCGGAAUCACUGGGCGUAAAGCGUGCGUAGGCUGUUUCGUAAGUCGUGUGUGAAAGGCGCGGGCUCAACCCGCGGAUGGCACAUGAUACUGCGAGACUAGAGUAAGGGAGGGGGAACCGGAAUUCGCGGUGUAGCAGUGAAAUGCGUAGAUAUCGAGAGGAACACUCGUGGCGAAGGCGGGUUCCUGGACAUUAACUGACGCUGAGGCACGAAGGCCAGGGGAGCGAAAGGGAUUAGAUACCCUAGUAGUC